rnacentral:rRNA from 1 species
CGGCGAGUGAACAGGGAAAAGCCCAGCACCGAAGCCUGUGGUCGUUUGGCCAUAAGGCAAUGUGGUGUUCAGGUCAUUCCGCAAAGAUGCUGCUCCACCCUAAGUCCAUUAAUGAGUACGGUUUAUGGACCUGGCCCACGGAGGGUGAAAGGCCCGUGUGGGUGGAGACCAGGUAGGCCAGUGUCUUUCUGGAGAAUUGACCUUGGAGUCGGGUUGUUUGUGAAUGCAGCCCAAAGUGGGUGGUAAACUCCAUCCAAGGCUAAAUACAUACACGAGUCCGAUAGCGAACAAGUACCGUGAGGGAAAGUUGAAAAGUACUUUGAAGAGAGAGUAAACAGUGCGUGAAACCGGUCAGAGGUAAACGGGUGGAGUUGAACUGCAAGCUCUGAGAAUUCAGCUGGUGAGUAUGGUUUAAGCUUGGUUAAGAUGGUUGUUUCACGGAGUCUGCGUAGCAGCAGGCCUUUGCCUUUCGGGGUGGAGGUGCGCGUUGCACUUAUCAAGUGUUGUGCGCUCUGUGUUCGCCGGACCAAUUCGCCAGUGCACUUUUUCAGAGUAGUCACCACGACCGGCAUUGCUGUCUGGCUGGUGCGGUUAAACCGGCCUUGCAUUUCCCUUGUGGUUUUGCUUGGUCGGGAUGGCAGGUAGCUCGUUGGCUAGCUUGUGGUUCGCUGCAGGCAUCGGUCUUCGGGUGUAAUCAGCUUACCGUAUCGGUUCUGUGCAGUGUGUCGAGAUGGCGGCUUGUGUGUGCGUGCGUGCCAUGUUGGCCGACGUGUUCGAGUUCUGGUUGUUUUGUUGCCUGAAUGCAGGCCUGAUGAUGACUCGGAUGCGUUGUGUUGACGGUUGCGUGUGUGACACGUUAUGAGCCAAAAGUCUGUGGUGUAGUGGUAGACUAUCCACCUGACCCGUCUUGAAACACGGACCAAGGAGAGUAACAUGUGCGCGAGUCAUUGGGCGUUACGAAACCCAAAGGCGAAGUGAAAGUGAAGGUUUGGCUUGUCCAGACUGAGGUGAGAUCCUGUCGUUUCUCAUGCGCGGUACCACCAAGCUUCGAGCGGCAGGCGCAUCACCGGCCCGUCCCAUGACAAUUGUUUUCGAUCAUUACCCAGUCGGGGCGGAGCAUGAGCGUACAUGUUGAGACCCGAAAGAUGGUGAACUAUGCUUGUGCAGGUUGAAGCCAGAGGAAACUCUGGUGGAGGACCGAAGCGGUUCUGACGUGCAAAUCGAUCGCCAGACGUGAGUAUAGGGGCG